UAAAAUGAUGUAGAAAUCCUGCCAUUCUCUGGAGUUCAAACUUAGAGCCUCUUUAGCUUGCUCUUCCUCUAGCUCCUUUCGCUUUUGGAAAGCCAUCUGAGUUAGAAUUCUACCUCCACACUCAUCCAAACACGGUCACACAUUAUCACAAACACCUUGCAUGCACAGAAUACCUUCAUCCCAAUCUUCAUUCCGCUGCCACUUCUGGACUGAGAAGCCACUCCAUUCUUGAAUGUGGAGUUUAAACUUCCAGAUUGCUUCUCCAAAGGGGUAGCAUAUUAGGGAGUGGAAGACUUGUUAAAUUGGCUUCAAGCUUGGACUCCAAUAGCACAUUCCUUUUGCUGUUCCAACACCCUUUUUCAGCAGCAAACACACCAAUUUUGGCUGUCCAGCAACCUCAAAUAGCAGCCACACUUGGCUUUGUUCCUUUGUCCACAACUUGUACUUGUAUUUUGGCUUUAUAUCACGGAACAUUUGAAGUUUAUUAGGCUUUUCAUUUUUGCAACUUAAAGUGGCUUGGAAAAAUGCUUUAAGCAAUUUCAAGUGCACAAUCAAACAUUGUAAUAGCUUAGUUUCCACUUCUUAGUGUGAAAGUGUGUCAAGUGGCUCCAAGUGUCACUUCCAUUCUUUCUUUAAGAUUUUUUUGCUUGUUGUUA